rnacentral:rRNA from 1 species
UACGUAGGGAGCGAGCGUUGUCCGGAUUCAUUGGGCGUAAAGAGCUCGUAGGCGGCUUGGCAAGUCGGGUGUGAAAACUCCAGGCUCAACCUGGAGACGCCACCCGAUACUGCCAUGCUAGAGUCCGGUAGGGGACCACGGAAUUCCUGGUGUAGCGGUGAAAUGCGCAGAUAUCAGGAGGAACACCGGUGGCGAAGGCGGGUCUCUGGGCCGAAAUUGACGCUGAGGAGCGAAAGCGUGGGGAGCAAACAGG